AGCGAACGCUGGUGGCAGGCCUAACACAUGCAAGUCGAACGAAGCCUUCGGGCUUAGUGGCGGACGGGUGAGUAACACGUGGGAACGUACCUUUUGGUUCGGAAUAACGCAGAGAAAUUUGCGCUAAUACCGAAUGAGCCCUUCGGGGGAAAGAUUUAUCGCCGAAAGAUCGGCCCGCGUUGGAUUAGGUAGUUGGUGUGGUAAAGGCGCACCAAGCCUACGAUCCAUAGCUGGUCUGAGAGGAUGAUCAGACACACUGGGACUGAGACACGGCCCAGACUCCUACGGGAGGCAGCAGUGGGGAAUCUUGCGCAAUGGGCGAAAGCCUGACGCAGCCAUGCCGCGUGAAUGAUGAAGGUCUUAGGAUUGUAAAAUUCUUUUACCAGGGACGAUAAUGACGGUACCUGGAGAAAAAGCCCCGGCUAACAUCGUGCCAGCAGCCGCGGUAACAC
rnacentral:rRNA from 1 species